UACAGAGGUGGCAAGCGUUGUUCGGAAUUACUGGGCGUAAAGGGCGCGUAGGCGGCCUCCUAAGUCGGACGUGAAAGCCCCAGGCUUAACCUGGGAACUGCGUCCGAUACUGGGAGGCUUGGAUUCGGGAGAGGGUAGCGGAAUUCACGGUGUAGCAGUGAAAUGCGUAGAUAUCGUGAGGAACACCAGUGGCGAAAGCGGCGCUCUGGGCCUAAACUGACGCUGAGGGGCGAAAGCGUGGGGAGCGAACGGG
rnacentral:rRNA from 1 species